CGGAUAGAUCAUAAAUGCUGGAAUGCUUUAUGAUUGAAAGGUUUCGACCGCCUUAGGAUGGAUCUGCGGCCUAUCAGGUUGUAGUGGGUGUAAUGUACCUACUAGCCUACGACGGGUACGGGUUGUGGAAGCAAGAGCCCGGAGAUGGAUUCUGAGACAUGAAUCCAGGCCCUACGGGGCGCAGCAGGCGCGAAAACUUUACAAUGCGGGAAACCGUGAUAAGGGAACACUGAGUGCUAGCAUUUAUGUUAGCUGUCCACAUGUGUAAAUAGCAUGUGAUAGCAAGGGCUGGGCAAGACCGGUGCCAGCCGCCGCGGUAACACCGGCAGCCCGAGUGGUGAUCACUAUUAUUGGGUCUAAAGGGUCCGUAGCCGGUUUAAUCAGUCUUCUGGGAAAUCUAAUCGCUUAACUAUUAGGCUUCCAGGGGAUACUGUUAGACUUGGGACCGGGAGAGGUAAGAGGUACUGCAGGGGUAGGAGUGAAAUCUUGUAAUCCCUGUGAGACCACCAGUGGCGAAGGCGUCUUACCAGAACGGGUCCGACGGUGAGGGACGAAAGCUGGGGGCACGAACCGGA
rnacentral:rRNA from 1 species